CCUACGGGAGGCAGCAGUGGGGAAUAUUGGACAAUGGGCGAAAGCCUGAUCCAGCAAUGCCGCGUGAGUGAUGAAGGCCUUAGGGUUGUAAAGCUCUUUUACCAGGGAUGAUAAUGACAGUACCUGGAGAAUAAGCUCCGGCUAACUCCGUGCCAGCAGCCGCGGUAAUACGGAGGGAGCUAGCGUUGUUCGGAAUUACUGGGCGUAAAGCGUACGUAGGCGGUUAUUCAAGUCAGAGGUGAAAGCCCGGGGCUCAACCCCGGAACGGCCUUUGAAACUAGAUAGCUAGAAUCUUGGAGAGGUUAGUGGAAUUCCGAGUGUAGAGGUGAAAUUCGUAGAUAUUCGGAAGAACACCAGUGGCGAAGGCGACUAACUGGACAAGUAUUGACGCUGAGGUACGAAAGCGUGGGGAGCAAACAGGAUUAGAUACCCUGGUAGUCCACGCCGUAAACGAUGAUAACUAGCUGUUCGGGCACUUGGUGCUUGAGUGGCGCAGCUAACGCAUUAAGUUAUCCGCCUGGGGAGUACGGUCGCAAGAUUAAAACUCAAAGGAAAUUGACGG
rnacentral:rRNA from 1 species